UACGUAGGGGGCAAGCGUUGUCCGGAUUUAUUGGGCGUAAAGAGCUCGUAGGUGGUUCGGUAAGUCGGAUGUGAAAUCUCCAGGCUCAACCUGGAGGGGUCAUUCGAUACUGCCGUGACUAGAGGUCGGUAGGGGAGUGUGGAAUUCCUGGUGGAGCGGUGAAAUGCGCAGAUAUCAGGAGGAACACCGAUGGCGAAGGCAGGUCUCUGGGCCAUAACUGACGCUGAGAAGCGAAAGCAUGGGGAGCGAACAGG
rnacentral:rRNA from 1 species